UACGUAGGGUGCAAGCGUUACUCGGAAUUACUGGGCGUAAAGCGUGCGCAGGCGGCUUUGCAAGACAGAUGUGAAAUCCCCGGGCUUAACCUGGGAACUGCAUUUGUGACUGCAUGGCUGGAGUGCGGCAGAGGGGGAUGGAAUUCCGCGUGUAGCAGUGAAAUGCGUAGAUAUGCGGAGGAACACCGAUGGCGAAGGCAAUCCCCUGGGCCUGCGCUGACGCUCAUGCACGAAAGCGUGGGGAGCAAACAGG
rnacentral:rRNA from 1 species